AUACGGAGGAUGCGAGCGUUAUCCGGAUUUAUUGGGUUUAAAGGGAGCGUAGGCGGGAGCUUAAGUCAGCGGUUAAAUGGUGCGGCUCAACCGUGCCCUGCCGUUGAAACUGGGUUUCUUGAGAGUGCAAGAGGCGGAUGGAAUUCAUGGUGUAGCGGUGAAAUGCUUAGAUAUCAUGAAGAACUCCGAUUGCGAAGGCAGUCCGCUGGGGCACGUCUGACGCUGAUGCUCGAAGGUGCGGGAAUCAAACAGGAUUAGAUACCCUGGUAGUCCGCACGGUAAACGAUGAUUACCCGCUGUCGACGGCAGACAGUCGGCGGCCAAGCGAAAGCGAUAAGUAAUCCACCUGGGGAGUACGCCGGCAACGGUGAAACUCAAAGGAAUUGACGGGG
rnacentral:rRNA from 1 species